AGUCGAGCGGGGUUGUACGCUGUGAGAUCUUCGGAUGGAACUUGUACAACUUAGCGGCGGACGGGUGAGUAACACGUGAGCAACCUACCCUGAAGUGUGGAAUAACAUUUGGAAACGGCUGCUAAUACCGCAUAAAGUCAAUGGACGGCAUCGUCUAUUGACCAAAGAUUUAUCGCUUUGGGAUGGGCUCGCGUCUGAUUAGUUAGUUGGUGGGGUAAUGGCCUACCAAGACGAUGAUCAGUAGCCGGACUGAGAGGUUGAACGGCCACAUUGGGACUGAGACACGGCCCAGACUCCUACGGGAGGCAGCAGUGGGGGAUAUUGCACAAUGGAGGAAACUCUGAUGCAGCGACGCCGCGUGAGCGAUGACUGUCUUCGGACUGUAAAGCUCUGUCUACGGGGACAAUAAUGACGGUACCCGUGGAGGAAGCCACGGCUAACUACGUGCCAGCAGCCGCGGUAAUACGUAGGUGGCGAGCGUUGUCCGGAAUUACUGGGUGUAAAGGGAGCGUAGGCGGGAGAUUAAGUUGGAUGUGUAAUACCGGGGCUCAACCUCGGGGCUGCAUCCUGAACUGGUUUUCUUGAGUGAAGUACAGGCAAGUGGAAUUCCUAGUGUAGCGGUGAAAUGCAUAGAUAUUAGGAGGAACACCAAUGGCGAAGGCGACUUGCUGGGCUUUAACUGACGCUGACGCUCGAAAGCGUGGGGAGCAAACAGCGAUUAGAUACCCUGACACUUCCACGCUGUAGACGAUGAUUACUAGGUGUGGGGGU
rnacentral:rRNA from 1 species